rnacentral:rRNA from 1 species
UACGGAGGGGGCUAGCGUUGUUCGGAAUUACUGGGCGUAAAGCGCGCGUAGGCGGACCCGCAAGUCGGGGGUGAAAGCCCGAGGCUCAACCUCGGAACUGCCUUCGAUACUGCGGGUCUCGAGUCCGGGAGAGGUGAGUGGAAUUCCUAGUGUAGAGGUGAAAUUCGUAGAUAUUAGGAAGAACACCAGUGGCGAAGGCGGCUCACUGGCCCGGUACUGACGCGUGAGGCGACGAAAGCGUGGGGAGCAAACAGG